UACGUAGGGGGCGAGCGUUGUUCGGAAUUACUGGGCGUAAAGGGAGCGUAGGCGGGAGAAUAAGUUAGGAGUUUAAUUCACAGGCUCAACCUGUGAUCGGCUUCUAAUACUGUUUUUCUUGAGUACGGGAGAGGGAGAUGGAAUUCCAGGUGUAGCGGUGGAAUGCGUAGAUAGCUGGAAGAACACCAGUUGCGAAGGCGGUCUCCUGGUCCGAUACUGACGCUGAGGCUCGAAAGCUAGGGGAGCAAACAGG
rnacentral:rRNA from 1 species